rnacentral:rRNA from 1 species
UACGGAGGGUGCGAGCGUUGUCCGGAAUCACUGGGCGUAAAGGGCGCGUAGGCGGCAGAUCAAGUCAGGGGUGAAAUCCGGCAGCUCAACUGUCGAAGUGCCUUUGAUACUGAUUUGCUCGAGGGAUAUAGGGGUCUGUGGAACUUCUGGUGGAGCGGUGAAAUGCGUUGAUAUCAGAAGGAACGCCGGUGGCGAAAGCGACGGACUGGAUAUCUUCUGACGCUGAGGCGCGAAAGCUAGGGGAGCAAACGGG